CCGAUUUUCUUGACGUGUAUUUUAAAAACCAGAAUGACAACACGCAAAAAGAAAACAAUAUAAGAGGUCAUUGCAACAAAAUGUGAUCCAUUUCUAUUAAGACUUCUGAUCAUACAGCCUGGCCGAUAAAUUUCCAUAAGAAGUCCAUGCCAUGGUGUUGGUUGUAUGUAGACUUUAGGCCUCAUUGGAGACUGGUAUAAGUAUUUAGACCUGCAAGCACUGUAACCAGCCAUUUUUCUCUCAGGGGCGACAGUGGAGACACAUCUACUGUUGUUGAAGAAUACACUCUUGGAUAAUGCCAGUGGUAAUUAAAGUCCAGCUUAACAAACAGUAAUUUGAUUUUUUUUUUCAAAGUCUGUACAUUGUCCAAAACAAAACUGUACUGCUUGAUUAAAUAAACUAUUUGAAAUGUA